UUCGCCCUUAGAGUUUGAUCCUGGCUCAGGACGAACGCUGGCGGCGCGCCUAACACAUGCAAGUCGAACGAGCGAGAGAGAGCUUGCUUUCUCGAGCGAGUGGCGAACGGGUGAGUAACGCGUGAGGAACCUGCCUCAAAGAGGGGGACAACAGUUGGAAACGACUGCUAAUACCGCAUAAGCCCACGGGUCGGCAUCGACCAGAGGGAAAAGGAGCAAUCCGCUUUGAGAUGGCCUCGCGUCCGAUUAGCUAGUUGGUGAGGUAACGGCCCACCAAGGCAACGAUCGGUAGCCGGACUGAGAGGUUGAACGGCCACAUUGGGACUGAGACACGGCCCAGACUCCUACGGGAGGCAGCAGUGGGGAAUAUUGCACAAUGGGGGAAACCCUGAUGCAGCGACGCCGCGUGGAGGAAGAAGGUCUUCGGAUUGUAAACUCCUGUUGUUGGGGAAGAUAAUGACGGUACCCACCAAGGAAGUGACGGCUAACUACGUGCCAGCAGCCGCGGUAAAACGUAGGUCACAAGCGUUGUCCGGAAUUACUGGGUGUAAAGGGAGCGCAGGCGGGAAGACAAGUUGGAAGUGAAAUCUAUGGGCUCAACCCAUAAACUGCUUUCAAAACUGUUUUUCUUGAGUAGUGCAGAGGUAGGCGGAAUUCCCGGUGUAGCGGUGGAAUGCGUAGAUAUCGGGAGGAACACCAGUGGCGAAGGCGGCCUACUGGGCACCAACUGACGCUGAGGCUCGAAAGUGUGGGUAGCAAACAGGAUUAGAUACCCUGGUAGUCCACACCGUAAACGAUGAUUACUAGGUGUUGGAGGAUUGACCCCUUCAGUGCCGCAGUUAACACAAUAAGUAAUCCACCUGGGGAGUACGACCGCAAGGUUGAAACUCAAAGGAAUUGACGGGGGCCCGCACAAGCAGUGGAGUAUGUGGUUUAAUUCGACGCAACGCGAAGAACCUUACCAAGUCUUGACAUCCCUUGACAGACAUAGAAAUAUGUAAUCUCUUCGGAGCAAGGAGACAGGUGGUGCAUGGUUGUCGUCAGCUCGUGUCGUGAGAUGUUGGGUUAAGUCCCGCAACGAGCGCAACCCUUAUGGUCAGUUACUACGCAAGAGGACUCUGGCCAGACUGCCGUUGACAAAACGGAGGAAGGUGGGGAUGACGUCAAAUCAUCAUGCCCUUUAUGACUUGGGCUACACACGUACUACAAUGGCGUUAAACAAAGAGAAGCAAGACCGCGAGGUGGAGCAAAACUCAGAAACAACGUCCCAGUUCGGACUGCAGGCUGCAACUCGCCUGCACGAAGUCGGAAUUGCUAGUAAUCGUGGAUCAGCAUGCCACGGUGAAUACGUUCCCGGGCCUUGCACUCACCGCCCGUCA
rnacentral:rRNA from 1 species